GGGUCAGUAGGUUGGUCGUGCCACCGGUACGUACUGGUCUCACUGAUUCCUCCUUCCUGAAGAACCGUAAUGCCAUUAAUUUGGUGUUGCGGGGAAACAGGACUGUUACUUUGAAAAAGUUAGAGUGUUUAAGGCAAGCUAACGCUUGAAUACAUUAGCAUGGAAUAAUGAAAUAGGACGAUCGAUCCUAUUUUGUUGGUUUCUAGGAUUGACGUA
rnacentral:rRNA from 1 species